AACGAACGUUGGCGGCGUGGAUUAGGCAUGCAAGUCGCGCGAAUCUCGCGGGGGCAACUCUGCGGGGGAAGCGGCGAAAGGGGCAGUAAGGCGUGGGUAACCUACCCCGGAGUUCGGAAUAGCCCUUCUAACGAAGGGGUAAUACCGAAUGCCAUACCCAGGGGGGCAUCCCCCAGGUAUGAAAGUUACAGGCGCUCCGGGAGGGGCCCGACGUGGUAUUAGCUAGUUGGUGGGGUGACGGCCCACCAAGGCCAAGAUGCCUAGCAGGUGGUGAGAGCACGACCUGCGCCACUGGCACUGGGGACACUGGCCAGACUCCUACGGGAGGCUGCAGUCGAGGAUCUUCGGCAAUGGGCGCAAGCCUGACCGAGCGACGCCGCGUGUGCGAUGAAGG
rnacentral:rRNA from 1 species